rnacentral:rRNA from 1 species
UGCGCAGGCAUAGAGCCUGCGCUUUUGUCCACCGUAGGGAGGUGGACGAAUAAGGGCUGGGCAAGACCGGUGCCAGCCGCCGCGGUAAUACCGGCAGCCCGAGUGAUGGCCGAUCUUAUUGGGCCUAAAGCGUCCGUAGCUGGCCGCGCAAGUCCAUCGGAAAAUCCACCCGCCCAACGGGUGGGCGUCCGGUGGAAACUGCGUGGCUUGGGACCGGAAGGCGCGACGGGUACGUCCGGGGUAGGAGUGAAAUCCCGUAAUCCUGGACGGACCGCCGAUGGCGAAAGCACGUCGCGAAGACGGAUCCGACAGUGAGGGACGAAAGCUAGGGUCUCGAACCGGAUU